CAUUUCAAUAGCCGCAAAUAGUGCUAAGGUAGCAUAAUCAUUUGUCUUUUAAAUGAAGACUAGAACAAACGACUUAACAUUUCAAUUUAUAUCAAUAAUUUAAUAUUCAAAUUUGACAAAAGUGUAAAAAGUCAUUUAUAUAAAAGAAAGACGAUAAGACCCUAUUGAACUUAACUUUAGUUUUACUGGGGCAGUAAAUCAAUUAAUAUUUUAAUUUAAAUUCUUAAAAAAAAAUCUAGAAAACUAAAUAAUUCAGUUACCAUAGGGAUAACAGCGCAAUUUUAUUUUAAAGAUCUUAUUAAAAAUAAAGAUUACGACCUCGAUGUUGAAUUAAUAAUCCAUAUAAAGCAAAAUUUAUAAAGGAAAGUCUGUUCGACUUUUAAAAAAUUACGUGAUCUGAGUUCAGGACCGGAGA
rnacentral:rRNA from 1 species